rnacentral:rRNA from 1 species
UAGGGAAUUUUCGUCAAUGGGGGAGCCCUGAACGAGCAAUGCCGCGUGUGUGAAGAAGGUCUUCGGAUCGUAAAGCACUGUUGUAAGUGAAGAAUGCCAUAUAGAGGAAAUGCUAUGUGGGUGACGGUAGCUUACCAGAAAGCCACGGCUAACUACGUGCCAGCAGCCGCGGUAAUACGUAGGUGGCAAGCGUUAUCCGGAAUCAUUGGGCGUAAAGGGUGCGUAGGUGGCACGAUAAGUCUGAAGUAAAAGGCAACAGCUCAACUGUUGUAUGCUUUGGAAACUGUCGAGCUAGAGUGCAGAAGAGGGCGAUGGAAUUCCAUGUGUAGCGGUAAAAUGCGUAGAUAUAUGGAGGAACACCAGUGGCGAAGGCGGUCGCCUGGUCUGUAUCUGACACUGAUGCACGAAAGCGUGGGGAGCAAAGUAGGAUUAGAUACC